rnacentral:rRNA from 1 species
UGGGGAAUAUUGCACAAUGGGCGAAAGCCUGAUGCAGCGACGCCGCGUGCGGGAUGAAGGCCUUCGGGUUGUAAACCGCUUUUAAUUGGGAGCAAGCGAGAGUGAGUGUACCUUUUGAAUAAGCACCGGCUAACUACGUGCCAGCAGCCGCGGUAAUACGUAGGGUGCAAGCGUUAUCCGGAAUUAUUGGGCGUAAAGAGCUCGUAGGCGGUUUGUCACGCCUGGUGUGAAAGUCCAUCGCUUAACGGUGGAUCUGCGCCGGGUAUGGGCAGGCUAGAGUGCAGUAGGGGAGAUUGGAAUUCCCGGUGUAACGGUGGAAUGUGUAGAUAUCGGGAAGAACACCAAUGGCGAAGGCAGAUCUCUGGGCUGUUACUGACGCUGAGGAGCGAAAGCAUGGGGAGCGAACAGGAUUAGAUACCCUGGUAGUCCAUGCCGUAAAACGGUGGAUGCUGGAUGUGGGGCCCUUCCACGGGCUCCGUGUCGGAGCUAACGCGUUAAGCAUCCCGCCUGGGGAGUACGGCCGCAAGGCUAAAAC